rnacentral:lncRNA from 1 species
CAAAGUGAGGUCUUUGCUAUUUCAGACUUUAUUAUUGGGAAAGUAUCAGCCUCCAACACAAGAAAGAAACCACUGCAUACAGCAACUACAUAUUUCACUCGGCUCUAUAAAGCAGGAAACAGCAGGCUGAAAUGCAAAAGUUACUAUUAUUUUGCCUGGAAAUAAUUUCUGACUUUAACUUAAUCAUUCAACGUCUGACUUUGCUUUUCUAAUUACAUCAGCUGAUGGAUCUGUCAAUAUCAAGGAGCGCAAUGUGAGAAAGACACCAUCUCCCUCAGGCACUCCAGCUUCCUGCCACAUCCCAAAGGUGUCCACGUUAGGUUAACAGGCAUGUCUACAUUGUCCCAGUCUGAGGGAGUGUGAGAGUGUGUGAGAGACUACUCCUGCAAUUGAAUGACAUCCUGUCCAGGGCUGGUGCCUGCCUUGCAUCCUAACCUUCUGGCACAGCCUCCAGCCAUCCAAGAAGCUGAACUGGAAUACAUCAGUUGGAAAAUGAAUGAAGGAAUGAAUACAAAUAAUUGUAAAAUAAAAAUGUGUACAGUCCAUGAUAAUCACACAGAUGCGCAACCAUUAACAAUGUGGGAUGAAAGCACCUGUUGCAGUUUCCAAGAACCUACUGACAAUGUUAAGUGAGGACUUACUAUGCAGAAAUAAACAGUACCAAA